rnacentral:tRNA from 1 species
UGUGGCAGAAAAGUGCCAUGGAUUUAAGCUCCAUUCAUGGAGGCCGUUCCUUCCAUUAAAA